AUACCUUCACAGUGUAACCAUGAUGGUGAAGGUGGUUUUCUCGGGGCUAAGCAUAUCCAUUGUGGUCUGGAUGUGCUGACCCCUGCAAUUUUCCCAAAUGAGGGAAACUUGACUACAUCAUUUAUGGUAAUAGAGGACUCUGUUCAAGUUCUCCCUG
rnacentral:snRNA from 7 species